rnacentral:lncRNA from 1 species
UGGGCAACAUAGCAAGACUCUAUCUCUGAAGACAAAACCAGCCAACCAACCAACCAACCAAUCAACCAACAAAAAAGAUCAAGCAGAGGUGCUCCAGAGGACGCAGCAAUAGAAUUCCGGAGCAAUGUCUGCUUGGCCUCGGUCUUCAUUCCCAUGGUGGCCCCUGAGUUCCGUGGAGCUCACUUCUACAUAGUUCCAUGUGUGACUUCAACAAAAUAAAAUGACGCAUUUAUUGGUUAAAAAUCAGAGAUUACCAUCAGAUAUGGAAAAUUGCUUUUACUUGGUAAUAACAAUCUUACGCACUUUUUACCAAACCCAUCGCAUUAAAUAACUAGCGUUUCAAAUUUUGACACUGCAUAAUAAACCCUCAUUUGAAAUGACUGGAGAAAUACUCAUCAAAUCUCAUGGAAGAAUGACAGAAUUUUCUCCAGAAUUUAUCGGAAAGGAAAAGAGGUUGGACUGUCAGGAAACGUUUUCAGGGUAACAUACUUACUAUUUUCUAGACAGUUACUCAGAUAACACUUGUACGCAGAGGGAAACACACCCCUGGGCUUUGCAAACACUUGUUUCCUGUGUGUCAGACUCGCCUGCAUCCUGUUUAUCAAAUGGAACGGAUAGUUAUUGAAAGCAAAGACCAGAACAACUUACCUCUUGUCAGUCACCUGCUUUUCUUUACUUGUCAUACUUUUAGCAUUUACAAAGUUUUAAAAAUGUGUUUAUCAUUUGGUAAUUAUUUUUAAACUUUAUUUGAAAAUAUAGACUGAGUUCUGAACAAAUUAUCCUUAAAUUUCUUCCUCUAGUAGUUACACUUUUCAGUAUCAGUGAAGUUUUAUGACGCCUCUAUUUUUCCUACCCACACAGCAUCUCAAGUUUGUCUUUACAGAAUAACUGGAAGUCCUAGCUUUAUCCUCUCUCUGCGUUUCUCUCUCACAGCCCCCUCCUCUUGGACUCUGCUCUUCCUCUCAGCACCGUAACCUUUUUAAUUUCCAGAUAGGUUUUGAAAACACCAUCUGUUCCCCUCUUAGGAUCCCUGGGGCAGAUGAUAGGUGAACCCCACAUCCCAGACACAUGGCCACCAAAGAUAUUCUUGCUUUUUUAAUGUUUAUCAAGUUCCUCCGCAGACAACAGAAACCAGAAAGUGAUCCGCUGCCAGCGACAGGGAGACACACAACUGGUCCUUAUUCUAAAGACCCGACCCAGCCUGGAAUGGGGCCCGGCGAGGAGUUCUUGCGCCGGCCGCGGGGACUGGGCGGUAAUGAGCCGCUAGUCUCGGAAGGUGGUGCUGUUGGGUGUGAGGGGAGAUCCGGCUUGCGCUGAAACAGCGAGCGGCGUGCAAGGAGGAAGCCGCGAUUUCCAAGGCGGAUUCCCUUCGCUGGGACACAACUCUUGAGAAUAAGACUUAUAAGGACUCUGAGAGUUUGAGGCAGAGGCAGAACGGCUCUGGGCUGAGUGAUGGGGAGGAUACCAGCACUCAGCGCGGGUGGCGGGCGCGGGGCCGAGCGCGCGCAUCCAGGGACGCCUUGGGGACGGGACGCGGAGAAAAGUUGCCGGGCGGAGAGAAAGGGUGGCGCUGGAAACCAAAUGGCUUUCAUCCCCUGGAGACAAAGAGGUGCCUUCUUUUGACAACAGCUGCCAGUGACACACACACCAUACGGCGGGGCCGGCGGGGGAGGGGAGCCCGGGAGGAGAGCGUCUAAGGCGGGGACCGGCACUGACUUUCAAUAAUGGGGUGGUUGCCAUGGUGACGGGCCAGGCAUCUAAAGGGGCGGCUGAAAGCACCCAUUGUUCUGGGGCCCGGCUGCUCGGGUUGUGCCUGUUCCUAAGAGACACCUUUAGACACCUCCCUCCGUGCAGGGGCGAGCUGCGGCCCGGGGCUGGGAGCGUCUCCGCGGGAGUUUCACACCAGGGCCCCAGGCCGCAGAUCGCAGCGCCGCCUUGGCUGCACGCGCGCUGCAUACGGAGGGCAGCGCCGCCUCCCACGCACUAUCCGCCCGAAAUCCGAGCGCGACGCGCGCCCGCCUGGGCCCAGACGCGCAGGCCGGGACACGCAGCUCCGCCUGCUCCCCGCUGUCCCGGGGAGACUUCGAAUAACAAUGCGGAGCAGGACCCGGUGACUCCACAAAUAACUCGCUGAGGUCUGGGGCGAGGGCACUCGGGAAAACCCCGCAGUCACUUUGCAGUCGUGCUGGAAGGAAAAGCAGAACGGAAUCACAGGAUAAAGAAGAUUAAAAGUAACAGGGCAGCGUUGCAAUGUUGCUUGUAAGAGCAAGCAGCUGGAAACAACCUAAAAGCCCGUCCCUGGGGGCUGGGUGAAUGAUAUGGGGCGCAUCCCUCUGAGGGAACACUAAGCUGCCAUUAAAGAGUACAGGGCAGCUGUAUUUGCUGAGACGUGGAAAUUUUCCGGUGUAUUCUAAGUAAUAAAGUGCAGAAGAGUGUGAGUAGGGCUGUGUGUAUGUGGUAUGUGUGUUUGCAUCUCUGGAAGUGGUUGCUUCUUAGGAUGGUCACUGUGGGACUAGGAGUGGAGGAGAGAAAGAAAACUUGCUUUUCACCGUACUAGAAUCUUCUGCACCUUUUGAAUUUUGCCGUUUAUACUAUGUCUUUACCUGUAAAGAAAAAAGAACUUUGAAAUAAAGUUGCAUUUGCUUGAACACUG